CUGAGAAAGCGAGCGAGAGGGAGAGAGAGAGGGAGAGAGAGAGAAUCACUGAAGCUGGCAGGGGACACAGUGAGAGCAGGGCCAACGCGGAGCAGCUCCGCUCUGUCUUCUGUGCGCCGGAGGAGAGCGAGCAUGGCCUCAGUCUCCGAAUCCUUCCUCAAGGUGCUGCUGCUUCUCGCUGGGCAGACCUGGAGCCCAGUAGCAGCAGGAAAUCCACGCGACUGCGAUGCCCCGCUGGCAUCUGCCUUGCCUCCAUUGUCCUUCAGCAGCUCUUCAGAGCUGUCCAGCAGCCAUGGCCUUGGGUUUGCAAAGCUUAAUCAAAGAGAUGGAAAUUGACAUUGUAAAUGGAAAGAACUGGAGGGUGAUUUUUGCUAGAAGAAUUCCAUUUGCGGAAGAGCAUCCUUGGACUUCCAUAAACCCUUCUGUGUAGUUCCUGGGAGAGCCUCAGCCUCUCCUGACUCACAUUCCCACUGCAUCAGAAGUGUGUAACCACCUUAUAAAGAACAAGAAUUGGCUCACACCAAUAAUCCCAGCACACCAAUAAUAAUGCCAGAAGUUGGAGACCAGCUUGGGCAACAUAGAGAGGCCCCAUGUUUUUUAAAAAAGAGAGAACAAGAAAACUUUCUUGUACAGAGAACUACAAAGCAUAUCAUUCAUAAAAGAGAAUGAACAUUUAUCCUCUACACAGAAACCUCUGAUGUUCUGCUAAGGGUGGGAGGAGACACAAGGAGUAGGUCAACCACUCCUAAAAUAGACACUCAGUGAAUUCUGUCUCCAGCUCCACUUGAUCCUCCAAGUCACACAGUCUCAGGUAGUGGCUGGCACACAGAAAAUCCUGCCAGCAGCGCCUUCCAGAGCUGGCCAUUGCUGCCACACUCCCAGGAGUGUCAUUUGUUACCAGUUUCCACGUCUUCGGAGAGUUCUUCAGUGACUAUUUUGGUGGUGCAAAGAUUUCUUCUCUACUGAUUUUGGAUUGCCUUUUAGACCACGUGAAGACACCUUUAGAAAGUGACCAUCUAUAAGCCAGGAAGAGAACCCUCACCAGAAAUCGAAUUGGCCAACAAUCUGAUUUUGGAUUUCUUUGGAACUGUGAGAAAAUACAUUUCUGUUGUUUAAACUACCCUGUCUAUGGCAUUUUGUUAUGGCAGUCCAAGAAGACUAAUACAGGCAGGAAAUAAGCCUCUGGAAUGCAGAUGGAGUGCAGGAAGACGAGGCCCAGUGGAGAGGAAGAGCACCCAAAUACUAUGUUUAUAAGAGGACGGGCUUAAUUUACCAGCCCAGAGCUUAUGGCAUAGAAGAGUUCCAAAUGGCUGUGCUCCCGUACCGGCUUGGUCUUUCCCUUUUUAUCAACAGUCAAAAAGUUCCAACCCAUAAGUACCCUUCUCAUAGGCCAGUUUGAAUAAAGCGAGAGAUGCUAUUCCAGCCCCUACAGAACUACAGGAUUUCACAACUUAGAAAUUUCCAUGUUCUAGGAAAUUAAGUUUACAAAUUCCCAAGAGCUGAGUCACCAUGGAGAGGACCCUGCAGGUUUAUCCUUGUGAUCUCUUUGAGAAGAUCUGUUAUCCUAGACCUCAACCUUCUCAGGUAUCCUCCCUGACGAUAUAUAUAUAAGUAAUAUAUUUACUUAAAGGUUUCUAAAUCCUUUUGGUAAUUAUACCCUUAGAAUUUUGCUAAGUUAAGUUAAACGGUGGAUAUUAAUGGAAUUUGAGAUCAUUUCUAAAUAAAACAUAUUGCUUAAAUAAUAAUAAUAUAAGCCCAUGGUUUCUUAUUUCAGAGCAAUGAAAGAUAUUUGGGUUUGUUAAUAAAUGUGUCCCAUUCUGCCUUGAAAAUUGUUCCAUAAAAAAAUCCCAUGUUUAUAAAAACUAUGAAAUAUAUAUUCAUAAAGUGUUUUGGUAUAUAAUAACAGUUCAAAAUGACUUAAUUUCUAGAGAAAUGAACUUUGCUAAGAAUUAAAACUGCAGUUAAUAAAUGUACUUCAAACUGUUAGAUAUAAAAGAAACAAUUCUAUAUACUGAGUAUAUAAGGAAAGUAGGAUGUGUUUUUGGUAAAGAAACUUUUAAAAAAGCAAUCAAGGAAGAAUUGUUUUUAAUAAAGAAAAAGUUAUUUUGUCUAGUGUAGAGAUUACUUAAAAGUUGUUUUAAAUUAAAACAUAAACCUAAAUGCCCAUCAGUUCAGGAAUGUAUUAACACACUGUGGGAUAUGCAUACCAUAGAAUACUAUUCAGCCAUAAAAAGAUGGAGACUUUACAUCUUUUGAAUUAACCUGGAUGGAGUUGAAACACAUUCUUCUCAGUAAAAUAUCACAAGAAUAGAAAAGCAAAUAUCCAAUGUACUCAAUACUAAUAUGAAGCCAGUAGACCAUCUAAUACACGCCCACACAGGAGAAAAUCUCAUUUCAAAUCAGUUGGGGGGAGGGAGAAGGAGGGAGUGAGGUGAGGGGAUGUGGGGUUUGGGAUGCUCCCACCGAAUGGGCACAAUGUAGGGGUGUAUGGCCCACCUUUUGGGUACAGGACAUAGCUACAAGAGGGACUCCUCUUAACAAUUUCAAAUAUUGUGAUUUGGUUGUUUAUACCCUCACAAAACCUGAAAUAUAAAAAAAU